UCUACCCCCUAUAAAAAUUAAUGCUCUUGUCAUCUUUCAAAGUAUAUACAUAAUUCUAAAUAAACAAAUAAUUUAUUUUAUUUGUUAAAUAAGUUAAAGUAUGUAACACGUUUUUAUUUUUUAAUUACAUAACAUUUUGGAAUGUUAAAGUUUAUUGUUCCGCUUUUUAUUGUAAAAGGGCUUUGCUUUUAGGGAUAUUAUUAUAACUUAAAAAAAAAAACAAUAAAUUUGUUGCAUAAACUUCAGUUUCAUUUAGUGUGUGAAACAUUUUUAACUAUGUAUGAUUUAAUAUUUAUUAACUUAUUAAAUGUAUUAGCUGAAUAGCAAAAUGAAUUAAAAUCGCUAAAGUAUGCCUAUUUAUUUAACUUGGGAGUAUUUUGAAAAAAUAGGAAAGGCGUUGAACAUGUAUUUUUGAUUAACACAGAAAAGUUUGGCAACAAGAAUUUUCAAAAAUAAUUAUGUAGUUCAGAAUUAAAUAGUAUAAGCAUGUACUUAUUUUCUAUCAGGUAAACAUUCUUAACAAGUAUUGAAAGUAUAUUUUGGUAUAGAAUAGCGUAUAUAUUAAGCGUGUAUAUAUUUUCUUUUACGUAAACAUUGAACUAAUUUUUAGCAAGAAUUGAAAAUGCCUGUUCGUUUACUGCUUAGCAAAUUAUACGUAUGUGCUACACAACAUUUCACAUGCAUAAGUAAUUUUAAGUUAAACACAGUGAAGUGCAUAGUCCGAUGGGUAAUCAACUGUAAUUUAUUAGUUUAUCGGCGGUUGUAGUCUAGGUACUUCCAUAAUUUAAUAAUAAUCAUAGAAUGGUGUAUAGUGUAUCUAUGGCCCUCUUCUAUAAAUAUCUAUGUAAGAAAUUGUAAGGAUUCUAGUAUCUAUGGUCUAUGUCCUGUAAUAUCUAUGCCUAUGUCUCUGGCAUAAAUGAAACUGACGUUUGUUGCCAUUUUUUGUUAUUUGUAUUCCUUUAAUGUAUUUGUUACGAGAAGAAUUCCAUCUACCUAUUUUUAUUCCAUUUCGUAUCUUUUUUUAUAUAGUGAUAUUUUAAAUUUUAAUCAUUGCAGCUACUUUUAAUUCCGGUAACUGAAGAUACAUUACUUAUUUAAGUUGUAAAUUUGUUCUCUAGUUCAGUUGUAACAGAAACUGGUGUAGCUUUCGGUAUUCCUUACUUUUUGCAAUUUUGUUAUUACACUAUAUUGUUAUGGUACUAAAUUGUUUAUAUGUGAAUAUUGUACUAGUCCUCUUUCCAAGAGGAUAUUUAUACUGGAAAUAGACAAACAGGUAUGCCAAAGUUUAACGCAAUGAAUGCCACCCUCAUAAGGCCGUAAAAGGAAAAAACAACAUUAAUUAGAGAUAAUUACAACCCUAUCGAAAAAGUACAAGUUUUUGGAUGAGCAUUCUACUAUACUAAGCAAUAUUCCUUUUGUUUCAACAUUUUAAACAAUUUGCCUAAUCAGCAAAUUCUUUACAACCUAAGAGCAUUUUUGCCAGCAGUUCAGACUUAUGAAGAAAGUACUUUAAGCUAUUUGCUUAUGGAGUUUCCUGUCAGUGUUUUGGGUUGUCACCUGUGGAAUUAUACAGUAUUCAAAAUCAUCUUUCCAAUACACCGAUACAACAUUGAAAAGAUAUAGAAGUAAUUUCUAUCUAUGAGUUUUCCUUCGAUCUUAUCUGUCAUCUUGUCUUCGAUCUUCGAGAAGACGACAAGCCACCGUUACCGUUUCUGCUGUCCAUAAAUGGAGACUACGCCUGAAGGCUUGCUUAGAGAUGACAUCAUUGGAUUAUAAGGAGGAACUACCUGGACUUGUUUUUAUUUCUAAAAAUGCUUCUGAUGUGUUGGUCGAAAAAUUCACAAGGCACGGUUGUUAACAAUGGUUUCCAUCAAAAUAUAAUAAAUGAACGUGGAGAGAGUAAAUCGAAAGGAGUGGAAACGUGAAGAAGCAGAACGCCACUCGCAUUUCUUUCUCUUAGACUUGGAAUGGGAUCUUUUGUGGAAAGGGUUAUCAUUUAAACUUGUUAAAUGAACAAGAAAACAAAAAAUAAGGAUUCAAAAUGUGGAGUUGUGGAGCCCUGUUAAUGUUCCGUCCUCUUAGACUUGGAAAGUGCAAUUUUUGGAGAACGAAGUCCAAUUCACAUAGAUAUAUUUAGGAAUAAAACUUGAGCACCGUAGAGUUAUCCUUGAGAUCGUCCAAAUGGUGAGAAAGAGAAUUUCAGAUUGAUGGUAUUGAAACAACCAAUGUCUUGUCUUGAUUUGCUGUUUUCGUCUUCACCUCGCAACAUUAUGCAGCUAAUUUUCAACAGAUAAGUGAGAACAAGAGGAGAUUUACUUGAAUUCCACUAAUAGAACAAGUUUUCUUCUUUGGCAUUCCUCCUGGACUUGGUUUGCUUUUCAUAUCUGCAAACGUUGGAACGUUACAGUCUAUAAUUAAUUAAGGUGAGAAUACUUGAUAUAAUUAAUUUUAAUUGCUCUU